rnacentral:rRNA from 1 species
CCUACGGGAGGCAGCAGUGAGGAAUAUUGGUCAAUGGGCGCGAGCCUGAACCAGCCAAGUCGCGUGAGGGAAGACGGUCCUAUGGAUUGUAAACCUCUUUUGUCGGGGAGCAAAAGACGCCACGCGUGGCGUUCCGAGAGUACCCGAAGAAAAAGCAUCGGCUAACUCCGUGCCAGCAGCCGCGGUAAUACGUAGGUGGCAAGCGUUGUUCGGAAUAACUGGGCGUAAAGGAUGCGUAGGCGAUUAAACAAGUUAUAUGUUAAAUAUAUAGGCUUAACCUGUAGAAAGCAUAUAAAACUGUUUAACUAGAGUGCAGGAGAGGUAAGUGGAAUUCCUAGUGUAGCGGUGAAAUGCGUAGAGAUUAGGAAGAACACCAGUGGCGAAGGCGACUUACUGGACUGUAACUGACGCUGAGGCAUGAGAGCAUGGGGAGCAAACAGGAUUAGAUACCCUUGUAGUC